rnacentral:rRNA from 1 species
UAGAGAAUAUUAGUAAUGGGCGAAAGCCUGAACUAGCAACGCCGCGUGUGCGAAGAAGGCCUUCGGGUUGUAAAGCACUUUUUGAGAGGAUGAGGAAGGACGGUACUCUCAGAAUAAGUCUCGGCUAACUACGUGCCAGCAGCCGCGGUAACACGUAGGAGGCGAACGUUAUCCGGAUUUACUGGGCGUAAAGCGCGUGUAGGUGGUUUGGUAAGUAGGGCGUGAAAGCUCCUGGCUCAACUGAGAGAGGCCGGUCUAAACUGCCGAACUAGAGGAUGGUAGAGGGAGGUGGAAUUCCGGGUGUAGCGGUGGAAUGCGCAGAUAUCCGGAGGAACACCAGUGGCGAAAGCGGCCUCCUGGACCAUUCCUGACACUCAGACGCGAAAGCUAGGGUAGCAAACGG